GAGAGAGUUGCUUGUCUUUGCAGCAGCAAGAGCUUGCGCUGCUUUUCCCUGAGAGGCCAGCUUCCCACCGAGCUUGCAGCUGAAGCUGUGCAGCGGACGGAGAUCGUAACUAAAGGAUUCUGACAUCGCUUUGUUCAGCGAGGAACAAAACUAACAUUUUGCAUCAAAAGGAAAGAUGUCACGUUUGGCCUGAUGGAUCCGCUCUCUGCUUUGACAUCCCUCCGUGGAGCAAAAGGAAUGAAUGCAAAGCUGUUUCAAAAUGAGAUGCUCAGGCAGCCUUGUCCUGACAUAUCUCCUGUCACCGUCUUUGGGACUUUUCUUGGGUUUCCUUCAAAACAAACGGCAAAACCUCAUCGCCACGGUCUGCAGGAGGGAGCUGAACCCUUCAGUAGAAAACUGCUCCAAAGUGUGCGUGUGUGUGUGUCUGUGUUUUUCCUUGUUUAUUCUGGGUUUUCCCCAGCCAGCUCUCUUGCAAAAGCUCCGUCACUGGGGUUGUCAGAUGUAAAGGGAACGGUGGUGGAGGGAUGCGACUCUUGAGGGCUUCCAGGUGGUUUAUUCGGGGAUAAUAAAGGAUCUUUCCUAUUCCCUCCAAGGCAUCUCCCACUGUUUCA